UACGAGGGGGGCGAGCGUUGUUCGGAAUUAUUGGGCGUAAAGGGCUCGUAGGCGGCCAACUAAGUCAGACGUGAAAUCCCUCGGCUUAACCGGGGAACUGCGUCUGAUACUGGAUGGCUUGAGUUCGGGAGAGGGAUGUGGAAUUCCAGGUGUAGCGGUGAAAUGCGUAGAUAUCUGGAGGAACACCGGUGGCGAAGGCGGCAUCCUGGACCGACACUGACGCUGAUGAGCGAAAGCCAGGGGAGCAAACAGG
rnacentral:rRNA from 1 species